GUAAAUGCUGGGGAUCAAUUAGCCAUCCUUGAUGAGAUGGUUGAAAUAAGUGAUUGCUGUUCCUUUCUCUCUUUCUUUGCAGCUCAGAGAAGUGAAACUAUUGGGCGUUUUUCAGAAGGUAUCUGGAAGUAACUGUCUGAACUGGAGGGGAAUACUCUGCACAGGUCCUUUUUAGUUUUGCAAGUCCAGCACAGGUAUUGAGGCCAUGUGGCAGGAGAGUCCCUCUGGCCUGGGGUAAACAAACACACUCCAGAAGCAACAGGAAACCCAGACUGAAGAAUGAGACUGCGCAUAAAACAAACUCUAAUGGAAAGUAACAUGUCAAGACCCCUGCACAGGACCAACAUCACCCUGCUGUCCCACACCAACCAAGCAUGAGCAGUUUCCCCACAGGAGAAACUUCAGAGUUGUUUCGCAGCGACCCGGUUUCAAGCUCUGUGGCUGGUUUGCCCUGCCGGCACUCAGCUGUGGGGCUGUCCCCGGGCGGAUUGGGGUGCUCCGCCGUGACCGGCCCUGCUGCGGCCCCUCAGCCCUGCCGGCACUCAGCUGUGGGGCUGUUCCCGGGCGGAUUGGGGUGCUCCGCCGUGACCGGCCCUGCUGCGGCCCCUCAGCCCGCUCCGAGCCGCCUCGGCCUGGGACAGCAGAGGGCAGCAAGAGCCAGAGAAGAUCGUUUCAUGAAUUGGGUCAAAUAGCACUCUCUGACAUUUGCUCUCGAAUACAGUGCCUGCACAGGCUGCCUGCGGCUCCUGGGCUGCAUCCCCCGCUGGAGGGCCGGGGCGGGCUCGGCUCCGGGGCCGUCCCGGGCAGGGGACCUGGCCUUGCACCUGUGCACCGCACCAAGUGGGUUGGAAAGGGAAUCAUGCUGAUUUUGGAGACUUUGCCCAGUUACAAGAGCACCAUAUGGCAUUUUAUCGUACUUGUGUUGAAAAGCUAUAAAAAUCUGAAGUUAGCUAUGCUUAGCUUUCGCCACACAGCAAAAUGUAGCGCUUACUUUAACUGUGAAUAAAUAAUUUCUUAUAUAAUGAUGAGAGCUGCUGGGCUGCAUUCCUCUUCCUUUGUACUCUGCAAAUCUCUAAAGAGACGUGUAUGAUCUCUAAAGAGAGGUAUAUAUUGCAAAAUGCUUUAUAAUGGAGGACAAAGCAAAAGCAUCAUUGCUACUAUCUGAUUUUUAACAAAUGCUGUUUUUUCCAUUGGCUCAUACAAAUACACCUUUUUUGCUUUCUUAGAUAGCAUUUAGGUAAGGAAAGUCUGCGUUAAUGCGACUUUCCCAUCACUCUUCCUCAAGUAUGUACCCAAACCAGGUGGCUUUGG